UGUAAACCAGGUCACCAUGGCUUUCAGCAG
rnacentral:piRNA from 1 species